rnacentral:rRNA from 1 species
GUGCCAGCAGCCGCGGUAAUACGUACCGGACGAACGUUAUUCGGAAUCACUGGGCUUAAAGAGUGCGUAGGCGGUCUAACAGGUGGGGUGUGAAAUCCCACGGCUCAACCGUGGAACUGCGCUCCAAACCGUUAGGCUUGAGGGAGACAGGGGUGAGCGGAACUGAUGGUGGAGCGGUGAAAUGCGUUGAUAUCAUCAGGAACACCGGUGGCGAAGGCGGCUCACUGGGUCUCUUCUGACGCUGAGGCACGAAAGCUAGGGUAGCGAACGGGAUUAGAUACCCCGGUAGUCCUAGCUGUAAACGAUGAGCACUAGAUCGUGGGGACUUCCACAUCCUCUCGGUCGUAGCGAAAGUGUUAAGUGCUCCGCCUGGGGAGUAUGGUCGCAAGGCUGAAACUCAAAUAAAUUGGCGG